rnacentral:misc_RNA from 1 species
AAAAAAAAAAAAUAAAAAAGGUUAGAACCUGUGCAUUAAUUUUAAACCUAGGGCAGUUUUGUUGCAGCAAGAAGUGUACCCACCUAUCCUAAAAAAAAUAGCACGACCUAGACAAACAGUUAAUUAUAUGGAGAGCUAAUAGCACAAAAAAAGAAAAAUUACUAAAUAAUGUGCAUAGAUUAACAUCUGCAAUGUUCAUAAAUCCAUUAUCAAGAAACACCAAGGAUAGAAGGGAAGAAGCAGAACCCAAAAUGCACAUGCAAAUGCUAAUCUACCUAAUUAAUGUGUAAAAUUUGAAAAAGGUUAUCACAUUAAUGUAAUCAAAAGGAACAAUCAAAAUGAGGGAGGAAUAAAACAGCACAAUCAGUACUAAAAACAAG